AUGUUCAUUUCAGCAGCACAUAUACUAAAAUUGGAAUGGUACACAGAAGAUUAGCACAGCCCCUGAGCAAGGAUGACACAAAUUCAUGAAGCGUUCUAUAUUUUU
rnacentral:snRNA from 1 species